rnacentral:rRNA from 1 species
CCUACGGGAGGCAGCAGUCGAGAAUCAUUCACAAUGGGGGAAACCCUGAUGGUGCGACGCCGCGUGGGGGAAUGAAGGUCUUCGGAUUGUAAACCCCUGUCAUGUGGGAGCAAAUUAAAAAGAUAGUACCACAAGAGGAAGAGACGGCUAACUCUGUGCCAGCAGCCGCGGUAAUACAGAGGUCUCAAGCGUUGUUCGGAAUCACUGGGCGUAAAGCGUGCGUAGGCUGUUUCGUAAGUCGGGUGUGAAAGGCGCGGGCUCAACCCGCGGACGGCACAUGAUACUGCGAGACUAGAGUAAGGGAGGGGGAACCGGAAUUCGCGGUGUAGCAGUGAAAUGCGUAGAUAUCGAGAGGAACACUCGUGGCGAAGGCGGGUUCCUGGACAGUAACUGACGCUGAGGCACGAAGGCCAGGGGAGCGAAAGGGAUUAGAUACCCCAGUAGUC